UGUGGGGUCNUAGCGCGGUGGUCCCACCUGACCCCAUGCCGAACUCAGAAGUGAAACGCCGUAGCGCCGAUGGUAGUGUGGGGUCUCCCCAUGCGAGAGUAGGGAACUGCCAGAC
rnacentral:rRNA from 1 species